UGAAAGCUGUCCUUCAUGACAACAGAACCCACAACAACCAUGACUUUUAUCACCAUCUUCAUCUGGACUCUUGCUUUAUUCAUACAAGAAUCCAGAGGACAGUACACUGUGACUCAGAUUCCUACAGUGAAAGCUGUUCUCCCAGGACAGACAGUCUCUCUGAACUGUAAAACCAGCAGUAAUGUGUAUUCUAAUAAUCUCUUAGCCUGGUACCAGCAGAAACCUGGAGGAGCUCCUAAACUCCUUAUUUACCGUGCUACAACACUUCAGUCUGGGACUCCAUCUAGAUUCAGUGGUAGUGGAUCUGGGAGUGACUUCACUCUGACCAUCAGUGGAGUCCAGGCUGAAGAUGCAGGAGAUUACUACUGUCAGAGUGCACACCAUGUAAGUGCCUGGGUGUUCACAGAGUGAUACAGAGCCGUACAA